GACACGUAUGCGUUCAUCUCUGUGGAAUAAACCAUGUCGAUUGGAGAAACAGGGUACCUGUCCGCCUUAUCCGGCCGGAGCCGGAGCCUCCAUGGACAGGGACGUCCAUCCAUGUGAUCCAUCCGUCCACCUACCUAGCCUGCCUAUAUAUCCACCCAUGCGAAGACAGUAUGGAGGGUCCCGGCGCCGACCAAGAAGUGGAGAUGGACUUUUGGGUUUCGUCGCUGGCUUUGGGUGUGGCAUGCACUAUCUAUCUAGCUGCCUUGACUAGCAGCAGCAGCAGCAGCUACGUACGAGCACAUCAUCAACGAUCAAGGAAGCUUCUGCACGGUCCAAGCAAGCAGCCCUUCAUGAGAAGAGACCCCCACAAUAUGCCAAUAUCUGUUAGCCCAAACUAAGGAGUGGUUCCGAAAAUCACAAACAGGACAAGAAGGACGGAUAUAAAGACGGGUUGUGCUGCGGAACAAGAUCGGUAUCGGAACAUAGGUGGAAGAUCUUAUGAUCCUUUCGUCAAAGCGAAAUCCCAACGAUUCUUUCUCUUCUUUGGGUGCAUGCCAUGCCAUGCCACUGGACUGGUGGGAAAGGCAGCCAGCCAGCCCAUAGCCCUGCGUACUCUUGUACUAAUCUGAUCUUUGAGCACCGCGUGCGCUAAUAGUAAGGGCAUGUACGACGGGGGCGCUUACAAUCGGCGACAGGGUUCGAUUCCCGUCCGAUUUGGUUCCGAAAAUCGGCAACCGCUCAACUAACUCAGCUGGUCGUUGUACUAAAAACCAGCUCUACUCAACUAACUUAGAUGAUUUCGUUUUGCAGCUGGACAAAUAAUUCUUUUCUUUCCUCUUCACGCACAACAAUAAUCUAGAAUAAACUAUAGAGCUUGUCAAUCUAUUACAAAUCUACAUGAAACCUGAAUACUUACAAUAAAAAUUGAAUUGAUACAAAAUAAAUGUGUAAAAAUGAAAUGCUUGUGGUUGCCAAGCUGGCCCAACAGGGACAAAGAUCCCAAUCUUAAAACCUGAAAGCACGGUGAGAUAAAGUUAGAAAAAUAUAUGCCAAGUUACUUCAACCGUUCUUUCAGUCAUACACGGUUAAAUCGGCCUAACUAAAUCAUGCAUGCAGUGCUGACUAAAUCAUGCAUGCAGUAAAGCUAUCUCGUUAUAUAUAGUCCUAGUUGCAGGUUCCAGUUCCACGCCCAUCCCAAAAAUUUCUGCUCAUACACAAGCACAAUCCUACUCAAAUCUGGUACAAGUAUUUGUUCAUACACAUCACAUCUUUCAAUGGAUAUCGGCCAUGCCAACAUCGGAGACAUACACUUACAAUGGACCGAAGAGGAUAAUCUAUGCCUGGUAAAUGCUUGGUUAAAUGUUCCCAUUGAUUUUGUUAUUGGCAAUGAAAACACUGCACGGGAUUUUUGGAAUCAAGUCGCUGAAGAAUAUAACUCAAAUACCGCCGAUAAUCGAAGAAGACAACCUAUCCAAAUCAAACGCCG